rnacentral:rRNA from 1 species
AGACCCCAUGGAGCUUUACUAUAACUUCGUAUUGGAAUUUGGCCUAACAUGUGUAGGAUAGGUGGGAGACUUUGAAGCUGAGACGCCAGUAGCAGUGGAGUCAACCUUGAAAUACCACCCUUGUUAUGUUGAAUUUCUAACUUACCAUCAUAAUCAGGUGGGAGGACAGUGCGUGGUGGGUAGUUUGACUGGGGCGGUCGCCUCCUAAAGAGUAACGGAGGCGUUCAAAGGUACACUCAGUACGGUCAGAAACCGUAUGUAGAGCGCAAAGGCAGAAGUGUGCUUGACUGUGAGACAUACAAGUCGAGCAGGUGCGAAAGCAGGACUUAGUGAUCCGGCUGUACAUUGUGGAAUGGCAGUCGCUCAACGGAUAAAAGUUACCCUGGGGAUAACAGGCUAAUCUUGCCCAAGAGAUCACAUCGACGGCAAGGUUUGGCACCUCGAUGUCGGCUCAUCGCAUCCUGGAGCUGGAGUCGGUUCCAAGGGUUGGGCUGUUCGCCCAUUAAAGCGGUACGCGAGCUGGGUUCAAAACGUCGUGAGACAGUUUGGUCCCUAUCUGAUGUGGGCGUUGGAAUAUUGAUGAGAGCCGCUCUUAGUACGAGAGGACCGGAGUGGACGUACCGCUGGUGUUCCAGUUGUUCCGCCAGGAGCAUGGCUGGGUAGCUAAGUACGGAAAGGAUAACCGCUGAAAGCAUCUAAGUGGGAAGCCUCCUCAGAGAUUAGUAUUCCCUUGAAAUUCCUUAUAGACUAUGAGGUUGAUAGGCUGGAUGUGUAAGCACAGUAAUGUGUUGAGCUGACCAGUACUAAUAAAUUGAAAGGUUUAAAAG